ACUGCUGUUCAGGGUGGCUCCUCAGUUUGUUGUUUUUUGAGAGCUAAUCUGAAGCUGUCUCCAUUCUGAAUAAAGCUGUUGCGAGCAAUGUGUGCUGGUGUUUGCUCCCUGCUUGGUCUGGCUAAUGAGUAACAGGAUCCAUGGGCAGUUAGACCGUCGUCUCCCUAGUUGUUGGGCAUCACAUGAAGUCGGGGUCUAACACUAAGCAACUGGCUUAAUGUUAUGGAAUGGGUCAGUGGCCAGGUAGGAAAUGAAAUCCAGACAUUUGGAGUUUCAUUCCAGUGUCUUAUCCAAUGGACCAUGCUACCUCUAUAUUUCUUCAUACCAGGAAUGAAACUGGGAAGAAUCUUUACUGUCAUUCUGCUGCUUUCUUGAAGCAGAAGUUCUGAUGCUUUCUACAUAUCCAACAAAGCAUCCACUACUUUAUUUUAUACUGGAUAAUAUGAAGAUUCCUUAGACCAAGAGAUGGCAACCUAUGACCGUGGAGCCACUGGGUGCAGCCUGUGGAACUGGAGCUUUGACAGCAUUCAGUGGCAAAAGAUGGGGGUAAAGUGGACGGGGGCUGGGACCCACGGAAAACCCACCUAGGACCCCAGCUGAGUCAUUCUGGCCUGCCACUGGAUAUUGGCGUUAGACAAUGUGUGCAUGUAUUCCAAACAGCAUAGCUAGUUUAAUUACAAAAUAUGAAUUCCAUGACAAUUCUCACUAAAAAUACUCUUGUAGGAGAAGUUUCUAAAACCAUGUAAAUAUGUACAACAAGCCAUCACUGAAAGAAAAGAGAAUUGGCAAGAUUUCUUGUUGCUAUUCUAGUGCUAGGCUUUUAUAAUGGAGUAAGUUUUAGUUAAUUAGAAGCCUGUGAACACUUUCUUAUUCUUAUGCAGUCUUCUAAUUCACCUUAUUGACUGUAAGUGUCAGAACUUGUGUGUGCGUAUGUAUGAUUUAUUUUACACGGUGGGUUUUUCCCUUGGAAAAAAUGCUAUUCUCUUUUUCCUGUCUACUGUGGAAUGAAGACAUUAUGGAUAUCUGUGCUGCAUACGGUUCAUGUGCAUGUGCUGCAUUAAAGUGGCAAAAAGUAUUUAAGUUCAUUCUCUGAAUAUCUACAUUAUUCAGCUAUUACUGAGUAUUAGUUGGGAAUCAAAACUCCAGUAUUCUGAGUAAGUGUAUCAAGAGCUGCAGGAAAGAAUACCGUAAUAAUGCUGAGAACUGUGUUUGUAUUCAUGAAGACACACCCCCUUGCCCCAAUUCUCAGUGUGUGAAAUGAAAAAGGAAUUCUGGCACAAGGCAAAUGCAAUGGAUAAUGCAGCUCCUUGCUCUGCAAGCCACUUGUGGCCAGUGGAACCAUUACGAUGCUGCUCAGUGAAACAAACCUGCAGACACAUCUGAGAAGCCCAGAUAAGGGAUAUACUCACCGCGUGGACCUGUGUUUUCUAACAGUGGCUUGUACCUCUCACAAAAAGGACACAAGGAGAUGGAUUCUGCAAGAGUAUUCAGGACUAUACUAGGUCCUUCUCUCUCACCCCCUCCCUCCCAAACACGCUGUCCCUGCUUGUGGAAGGACAUGGGUGUUAUACAAAUAGACUUUUUGCCUAUUGCUUUUAAUUUUAUGUAUUUUCUUGAGUUUUGCAUUGCCUUAAGAAAUUCCAUUUUGUAUUGCGCUGUAGCUUGACAUAAGUGUUUGACCUUUUUAUUCUUUUGUAUCCCGUAUGGGUGAGAGUGUGUUUGUGGAAAAUGAAAACAUCAGCUGGUGACUGGCUGAAGAAUGCAGACAGAUAAAAGACCAAAAACAGGAAGAAUCUGCCUCAGAACAGAAAGAGAACAUUGGCAAUUGCCAUUCAAGGAAGAACACAGUGAUAAUAUAGCAAAAGCCCAGAGGACUGGGUGAAUUGACAAGGCUAUAACAGAUGAGGCAAGACAUACUGAUUUUGGGUCUUGUUCUGCAUGUCAUCCUUGCAGCACUCUGACAAGAUGGACCACAAGGAGUCCGGAUCCUACUCGUGAUCAACUUGGCUGGCCACUAAGUUAAUCUGAGCACCAAUAAAACUGGUAACAUAUACCAGCGCAGAACAAAAAUCGGGGUAUGAAUGUGGGGUGUGUGUAUAUUAAGCGCUUAAUCAAUACAUGCAGCAUCUUCCCUUA